UCAAUAAGCGGAGGAAAAGAAACCAACAGGGAUUGCCUUAGUAACGGCGAGUGAAGCGGCAACAGCUCAAAUUUGAAAUCUGGCCCUCGGGUCCGAAUUGUAAUUUGUAGAGGAUGAUUUUGGUGCGGUAUCUUCCGAGUUCCUUGGAACAGGACGCCUUAGAGGGUGAGAGCCCCGUACGGUUGAAUGCCUAGCCUCUGUAAAUCUCCUUCGACGAGUCGAGUAGUUUGGGAAUGCUGCUCUAAAUGGGAGGUAAAUUUCUUCUAAAGCUAAAUAUUGGCCAGAGACCGAUAGCGCACAAGUAGAGUGAUCGAAAGAUGAAAAGCACUUUGAAAAGAGGGUUAAAUAGCACGUGAAAUUGUUGAAAGGGAAGGAUUUGUGACCAGACUUUUUCUGGGCGGAUCAUCCGGGGUUCUCUCCGGUGCACUUUGCCCAGUAAAGGCCAGCAUCGAUUUUCGGCGGCGGAUAAAAGCAGUGGGAAUGUGGCUCCCUACGGGGAGUGUUAUAGCCCAUUGUAUAAUACGCUGCUGGGGAUCGAGGUACGCGCUUCUGCAAGGAUGCUGGCGUAAUGGUUAUCAAUCACCCGUCUUGAAACACGGACCAAGGAGUCGAACAUUUAUGCGAGUGUUUGGGUGUUAAACCCUCACGCGUAAUGAAAGUGAACGGAGGUGAGAGCCCGUACGGGUGCAUCAUCGACCGAUCCUGAAGUUUUCGGAUGGAUUUGAGUAAGAGCAUAACUGUUCGGACCCGAAAGAUGGUGAACUAUGCGUGGAUAGGGUGAAGCCAGAGGAAACUCUGGUGGAGGCUCGCAGCGGUUCUGACGUGCAAAUCGAUCGUCAAAUCUGCGCAUGGGGGCGAAAGACUAAUCGAACCAUCUAGUAGCUGGUUACCGC
rnacentral:rRNA from 1 species